UCCAGUUUACAAAUUCUCCACCGAACAGAACGAGCUGCCUUUGCUCCCGUUUACACCCUAGCUCUACAUCCUCUCCCGCAAAUCUCCUUCCUGCUUCCGUGUGGGCUUCUACGGCUGGGACUAGACGGUUCGCUACUAUCCCCAGGAAGGAACCAGCAAGCAACCGGAUCUCUCCAACUAGAUAUCUUCUCCCCAACCCAGAUCCCCAGCUGGGAUCUACGGACGGCUGACGAGCGCUUUUCCUCCUCCUCUGUGUCACACAGGACUCCCUGGCUCUGAUUUGAAAGGUGCAGCCGAGGAACGGCGGCGUCUUAAAGAGGGCGAAGGCAAAGACGACGAGGGAGCUUGGAGCAGAGGAGGAGGAAGACGCGCCGCUCCGCCGACCAUGCCCGAGUUUCUUCUUUUCGCCGUCCUAACCGUCUCGGGAUUAUUUCCUAUUGCUAAGGUUCUGGCAGUGGGAGCUGGCGGAGCCAAAGACUGAAGAUUAAAAGUUUAAGAGGUAACUGAUGUCCCAGUAACUGGCUUGAGGUUCAUUUGCGCUAAUGAAGGAAGGCAAUUGUUUUAUUAUUUCUUGGACAAAGAGGAUAAACUACGUUCAUUUCCAGGAAUGGCACUUUCACUUCAAAAUCCUAUCAACCACUAUGUUGAUAUCAUGGCAGAAAGGCUUGGAUGUAGACAUUGCUGAGCUGGCACAACAGAGCAACCUGUCGCAUUGUUUUGUCAGCUAACAUGGGUCUCAGACCUUCCAUUGAUACCACAUUCACUGCAAUGAAAUGGGUCCUCAGCCCAGCCGGGCACUGCUGUGCUACUCAAAGGGCUCUGCUAUGCUCUAAUGAGAGGAGACUAGAGACUCUUAUUUGGAUGGGUUCUGAAGGUAUUCAAAAUGGUAACCAAACAUCUAUGAUGAAAAUUUGAAAAGUGUUCAUGAAAAGGCCAUGGCUUGUCAACUUUUACCUAACCUUUUCACUAUUACUGUACUACUGCGUGCCAUAUUUAUUUACUUAACAUUUUUCAAAUGGUGAACAAUAAAAUUGACAAAUAUAUUUUAAAA